rnacentral:lncRNA from 1 species
GAGCACAUGCUUGAUGUGGGUGGGCUGUGGUUUUGCAGGUGCAACCCGAGCGCUUGCUUUCUGUUUGUGUUUGCAGGUUUUGCAGGAAGUUGUGGAGAGGCACAGAUGAGCGUUGACAAGAGCCUGAGCAGGUGAGAGGGGGCGCUUGUCGGGUCCGAGGUUUCUUGUGCGGUGGGUAGCGCUGGGCUGCCUGUCGGUGAUGUCUCUCGCUCUGCUUUUCCAGGUACUGCGUGGGCCUUUCCCAGGCAUGGCUGAGGAUGUCAGGUGCUGUGGGCUCCCCCCAGCCACAGUGUUGGAGUUUGGAAUUGGUGCAGUGCAGGUAAGUGGAGUGCCCAUGGCAGUUUGUGAAGGGUAUUGUUGUGGAGGAGGCUGGAGCUGCCUGGCCUGGGGGUGAGCGCUUGUGCUUUGGUUUCGCAGAUGAUGGCGAAUGAGGUGACCGGAGGAAGAUCAGAGAGGAUGCAGCUGCCAUUGAGGAUGUGUCUUGAAGACAGAUGGUGACCCAGAGCACUGUGGAAGCUAAGUUGAGAGGCCAUGGGUGUUGGUGUGUCUUGACUCUGUGUGUGUGUGUGUGUGUGUGUGCA